rnacentral:misc_RNA from 1 species
AAGUCGUAACAAGGUCUCCGUAGGUGAACCUGCGGAGGGAUCAUUAACGAGCAAGGGCGGAAACGCCCGACCUCCCAACCCUUUGUGUGCGAAACCAAGUUGCCUCGGGGCCCGCUCCGCGGGCCCGGCCGACGCGGCCCAAGCCAACUGCAUCUUUGCGUCAGAGUAACAUUCUUUGAAUAAAAUCAAA